CUCUCCAUGACUGCAGAGUGAAAUAUAGCUCCGGGCAUAGAAAAUGUUCCUCCAGUGCUCCGAUAAAUAGCAUUCAGUUUUCAGCCCCAGGGAAUUCAAUGCAGCCCUAGUUACCCCUCACUGCCAUCACAGCCAUUGAUUCCUUGGGCAGUGGAAAUGAUUUAUGAAGAUUAGUGAGAGACUGAGCCAAUCUACUAUCCCCACAGAAGAUUUUUGCUGCCAUGGCCACCGGAACCAUAGCAAUGUACAGAGAUCUCUUUGAGACCUACAUAUGCCUCAUAACCUCCUUGGACAGUCAGAUUUGUUACGAUGCCUGAAUUUAAAAUAUUUCAGCACAGAUAGUAUAAUAUAAUGUAUUUUAUAGUUAAUUUUUAACUCUCUGGUCAAUUGUUGCUUGACUCAGGACUU